UACGGAGGGUGCAAGCGUUAAUCGGAAUUACUGGGCGUAAAGCGUGCGCAGGCGGUGAUGUAAGUCAGGUGUGAAAUCCCCGGGCUUAACCUGGGAACUGCAUUUGUGACUGCAUCGCUGGAGUGCGGCAGAGGGGGAUGGAAUUCCGCGUGUAGCAGUGAAAUGCGUAGAUAUGCGGAGGAACACCGAUGGCGAAGGCAAUCCCCUGGGCCUGCACUGACGCUCAUGCACGAAAGCGUGGGGAGCAAACAGG
rnacentral:rRNA from 1 species